UACGUAGGGGGCAAGCGUUGUCCGGAAUCAUUGGGCGUAAAGAGCGUGUAGGCGGCCCGGUAAGUCCGCUGUGAAAGUCCAGGGCUCAACCCUGGGAUGCCGGUGGAUACUGUCGGGCUCGAGUCCGGAAGAGGAGUGUGGAAUUCCUGGUGUAGCGGUGAAAUGCGCAGAUAUCAGGAGGAACACCGGGUGGCGAAGGCGGGUCUCUGGGCCGAUGACUGACGCUGAGAGCGAAAGCGUGGGGAGUCAACAGG
rnacentral:rRNA from 1 species